GGAACGUGCCUUUCACUACGGAAUAGUCCCGGGAAACUGGGUUUAAUACCGUAUACGCCCUUCGGGGGAAAGAAUUUCGGUGAGAGAUCGGCCCGCGUCUGAUUAGGUAGUUGGUGGGGUAAUGGCCUACCAAGCCGACGAUCAGUAGCUGGUUUGAGAGGAUGAUCAGCCACACUGGGACUGAGACACGGCCCAGACUCCUACGGGAGGCAGCAGUGAGGAAUCUUGGACAAUGGGGGCAACCCUGAUCCAGCCAUGCCGCGUGAACGAUGAAGGCCUUAGGGUUGUAAAGUUCUUUCAACGGUGAAGAUAAUGACGGUAGCCGUAGAAGAAACCCCGGCUAACUCCGUGCCAGCAGCCGCGGUAAUACGGAGGGGGUUAGCGUUGUUCGGAAUUACUGGGCGUAAAGCGCACGUAGGCGGACUAUUAAGUCAGGGGUGAAAUCCCGGGGCUCAACCCCGGAACUGCCUUUGAUACUGGUAGUCUAGAGUUCGAGAGAGGUGAGUGGAAUUCCGAGUGUAGAGGUGAAAUUCGUAGAUAUUCGGAGGAA
rnacentral:rRNA from 1 species